rnacentral:rRNA from 1 species
UACGGGGGGUGCGAGCGUUGUCCGGAAUUAUUGGGCGUAAAGAGCUCGUAGGCGGUGUGUCGCGUCGGCCGUGAAAACCUGCAGCUUAACUGUGGGCGUGCGGUCGAUACGGGCAUCACUGGAGUUCGGCAGGGGAGACUGGAAUUCCUGGUGUAGCGGUGAAAUGCGCAGAUAUCAGGAGGAACACCGGUGGCGAAGGCGGGUCUCUGGGCCGAUACUGACGCUGAGGAGCGAAAGCGUGGGGAGCGAACAGG